rnacentral:rRNA from 1 species
GCCGGGCGACGGUUGUCCCGGUUUAAGCAUGUAGGCGGAGAUUCCAGGUAAAUCCGGAGUCUUGUUAACGCUGAGGUGUGAUGACGAGGCACUACGGUGCUGAAGUAACAAAUGCCCUGCUUCCAGGAAAAGCCUCUAAGCAUCAGGUAACACAAAAUCGUACCCCAAACCGACACAGGUGGUCAGGUAGAGAAUACCAAGGCGCUUGAGAGAACUCGGGUGAAGGAACUAGGCAAAAUGGUGCCGUAACUUCGGGAGAAGGCACGCUGAUAUGUAGGUGAAGUGAUUUACUCAUGGAGCUGAAAUCAGUCGAAGAUACCAGCUGGCUGCAACUGUUUAUUAAAAACACAGCACUGUGCAAACACGAAAGUGGACGUAUACGGUGUGACGCCUGCCCGGUGCCGGAAGGUUAAUUGAUGGGGUUAUCCGUAAGGAGAAGCUCUUGAUCGAAGCCCCGGUAAACGGCGGCCGUAACUAUAACGGUCCUAAGGUAGCGAAAUUCCUUGUCGGGUAAGUUCCGACCUGCACGAAUGGCGUAAUGAUGGCCAGGCUGUCUCCACCCGAGACUCAGUGAAAUUGAACUCGCUGUGAAGAUGCAGUGUACCCGCGGCAAGACGGAAAGACCCCGUGAACCUUUACUAUAGCUUGACACUGAACACUGGUCCUUGAUGUGUAGGAUAGGUGGGAGGCUUUGAAGUGUGGACGCCAGUCUGCAUGGAGCCAACCUUGAAAUACCACCCUUUAAUGGCUGGUGUUCUAACGUAGACCCGUGAUCCGGGUUGCGGACAGUGUCUGGUGGGUAGUUUGACUGGGGCGGUCUCCUCCUAAAGAGUAACGGAGGAGCACGAAGGUUAGCUAAUCCUGGUCGGACAUCAGGAGGUUAGUGCAAAGGCAUAAGCUAGCUUGACUGCGAGAGUGACGGCUCGAGCAGGUGCGAAAGCAGGUCUUAGUGAUCCGGUGGUUCUGAAUGGAAGGGCCAUCGCUCAACGGAUAAAAGGUACUCCGGGGAUAACAGGCUGAUACCGCCCAAGAGUUCAUAUCGACGGCGGUGUUUGGCACCUCGAUGUCGGCUCAUCACAUCCUGGGGCUGAAGUAGGUCCCAAGGGUAUGGCUGUUCGCCAUUUAAAGUGGUACGCGAGCUGGGUUUAGAACGUCGUGAGACAGUUCGGUCCCUAUCUGCCGUGGGCGCUGGAGAAUUGAGGGGGGCUGCUCCUAGUACGAGAGGACCGGAGUGGACGCAUCACUGGUGUUCGGGUUGUCAUGCCAAUGGCAUUGCCCGGUAGCUAAAUGCGGAAGAGAUAAGUGCUGAAAGCAUCUAAGCACGAAACUUGCCCCGAGAUGAGUUCUCCCUGACCCUUUAAGGGUCCUGAAGGAACGUUGAAGACGACGACGUUGAUAGGUCGGGUGUGUAAGCGUAGCGAUACGUUGAGCUAACCGAUACUAAUGAACCGUGAGGCUUAACCUUACAACGCCGAA